AUGCCGUCACUUCUUCGUCGGUGUAAUCCUCGAAGUCAAUAUUAUCCUACACAGUCAUCAUACCAAAAAGCAAAUACAUGAAAUUAUUCAUAUAAUAAAAAAUUUAUUUAUAUAAUCAAAAAUAAUAUGGAUCAUGUAAUGAUAUGCAAGACAUCCAAAUUUAAUUCUUACCUUGAUGUGAGAGACUAGAGCAUCACGG
rnacentral:lncRNA from 1 species